UACAGAGGUCUCAAGCGUUGUUCGGAUUCAUUGGGCGUAAAGGGUGCGUAGGCGGGCAGGUAAGUCAGUGGUGAAAUCUCCGGGCUUAACCCGGAAACUGCCGUUGAUACUAUCUGUCUUGAAUGUCGUGGAGGUGAGCGGAAUAUGUCAUGUAGCGGUGAAAUGCUUAGAUAUGACAUAGAACACCAAUUGCGAAGGCAGCUCACUACACGAUGAUUGACGCUGAGGCACGAAAGCGUGGGGAUCAAACAGG
rnacentral:rRNA from 1 species